rnacentral:rRNA from 1 species
UUGAACGCUGGCGGCGUGCCUAAUACAUGCAAGUCGAGCGAACAGACGAGGAGCUUGCUCCUCUGACGUUAGCGGCGGACGGGUGAGUAACACGUGGAUAACCUACCUAUAAGACUGUGAUAACUUCGGGAAACCGGAGCUAAUACCGGAUAAUAUAUUGAACCGCAUGGUUCAAUAGUGAAAGACGGUUUUGCUGUCACUUAUAGAUGGAUCCGCGCCGCAUUAGCUAGUUGGUAAGGUAACGGCUUACCAAGGCAACGAUGCGUAGCCGACCUGAGAGGGUGAUCGGCCACACUGGAACUGAGACACGGUCCAGACUCCUACGGGAGGCAGCAGUAGGGAAUCUUCCGCAAUGGGCGAAAGCCUGACGGAGCAACGCCGCGUGAGUGAUGAAGGUCUUCGGAUCGUAAAACUCUGUUAUUAGGGAAGAACAAAUGUGUAAGUAACUAUGCACGUCUUGACGGUACCUAAUCAGAAAGCCACGGCUAACUACGUG